rnacentral:rRNA from 1 species
UACAGAGGUCCCAAGCGUUGUUCGGAAUUACUGGGCGUAAAGCGUGCGUAGGCGGCGGGGUAAGUCGGGUGUGAAAUCUCAGGGCUCAACCCUGAAAUUGCAUUCGAUACUACUCUGCUUGAGCUCUGAAGAGGAGGUUGGAAUUCCCGGUGUAGCGGUGAAAUGCGUAGAUAUCGGGAGGAACAUCUGUGGCGAAAGCGGCGCACUGGACCACUUCUGACGCUGAGGCGCGAAAGCUAGGGGAGCAAACAGG